ensembl:lncRNA
GGCGGGGUCGGCGCUUGCAAGAUGAGAUGGUAGAAGUACCUAAAGAUUUGGCUGAGGGGCACCCUCUCUUGCUCAUCCACGAGAGCGGUGGUCAGGCUGCUUCCCUUCUCCCUAGAACUCUAGGGAGUCUAGAGUCUAGUAUCUCCUUGCUGCUCCUUCCUCUGGCCCAAUAGAGCUCCCGAAGCCACUAGAAGUCAGUGUUAGCAGAAGGAAGGACUCUUGAGCUGCGACUAGCCUCACUUAGCCUUUGUCCAUAGGUCUGGUUCUAUAGCUGCCGUAGGGGCGCACAACUAUCCGCACAGUACAGGCACCGUCUCUUCCUUUGUGCUAAGACCCUUCAUUCCCGGGUGCCAGAAGGAAUGAAAAGACUGAGGUUGGUCUCCAUGGCAACUGACGGGAGGAGGUGGAUUCUAAAUCCUUUUCCUACCCCUACCUCUGUCUGACGGAGGCAGUGUGAAGGCCUGGUGUUGGGUGCAUUCCUGAUGCUCACUGAGGGCAGAAGAAACCCAAGGAGUCCCCAUAUGGAUCCCAGUCCUCUGCAAGAACAGCAAAUACUCUUAAUCACUGAAACAUAGCUCCAGACCCCUGGGUUGGCUUUUUACAGAAGACAGGUUUUGUGUUGUUUUCGCUUUUAAAUUGUUUGCCCUUUUUCAACAUCUUCUGGUUACCCUGACUCUGGAUAUCCCACCCAGCUGUACUCCUGAAACAUCCCCCUCAGUCCCUCAAUUUUAAGUGACUGAGGCUUAAGUGCGAGAGGUCUUUCUCACAAUUUCCCAAGUACCUUCUUUGAAGGAGAUAAUGUCCCUUGAAUGACAGUUCCGGGCUGAGCUUUUGCGUCUGCUGACUAACACUCCCAUACUCACUCCAAACUAGUACCCCACAAUGUAGGAUUAACUCUGGAAACCUAUUUCCUAACUUGAAAUUCCAGCUUCUGCAGGAAGGCACACAUAUACAUAUUCCCAUCCCCAGCCCCCUCCUCUGGAUCUAACAAAAAAUCGAGAAUGCCCGUGGCAAAGCUGGAAAACCCGAUCAAUACUUCAGAGUACUGACUGCUCUUCGGAAGACCAGGAUUCAAUUCCUAGCUCCCACAUGGCUCCCAACCACUGUAAUUCAGGGCAUUCCACUCUCCUGGUCUCCCUGCAGUGCCAGGCAGCCACAUGCUGAAGUAAGAAUGAAUGCUGCCAACCUCUCCUGCUGUCUCUGUCCCAUGUGCAGCCACUAUGCCAACCCAAAGCCCUGGGCUGGGGCCCGAGAAGAGCUCCAGCCUCUCCUGCUGUCUCUGUCCCAUGUGCAGCCACUAUGCCAACCCAAAGCCCUGGGCUGGGGCCUGAGAAGAGCUCCUUUUAGACUUUAAGCUAAAAUCUUCAGACAUCACUGGGAUUCUGAAUUCUGUGCAAACAAUAAAAACAAGAUAUAGAUGAGAAAAAGUGAGAGCCAUCAAAGCCCUACUGCUGAACUCAGCGCACCCCCCUCCUCUGGGCUGGUCAUCCAGCUGGUGUACAUUGGACCUACAAGCCUGAAGUGCUUGCUACCCCGGGGAAACUGUUCUUGCUCCUGGUGUUAUCUGCAGACUGCGUAGCUGACUUUUACCCCCAUGCCUGGCAACUGAACACACCUCCCCUUUUGCUGAUAAGAUCAAAGCCUCCUUAGCUAUUCCGCUUACUUUUGUAGCUCCUGCUCCUUCUCCCUCAGCCAAAAUUGAAGCCAAGGAAUCCGAGGAGUCAGACAUGAAUAAGGUUACAAAACCUUAGCCAACCCAGCCAGCUUUACUUGUGAAGUAUGGAGAUCAAGGCUUAGAUUUAGAUGAUGAGGCAAUUGAUCUAAAAACACAUAGAUUUAAAAAAUGGCAGAGAAUGUGGAGAGGGAAAUAUAGCUUCACUAGAGAGUGCUUCAAAAAGGGGAAGCCCUAGAUUCAGGCCCCAUCGUGGCUGAGAGAGUAGGAGGGAAGUUAUACCAUUCUCUGCCUGCAUAGUCAAAAGAAGGCAGAGACUGGAGCCAACCGUGGUGGUCCGUGCCUACACUUGCAGUACUAAGGAGGCUCUCAAGCUCAAGGCUACCUUGGGCUACAUAGGAAGACCCUAUCCUAAGAAGAAAAGGGACAGAACAGAUGAGUGAGUUUUUAAUAGAUUUCUGAAAACCCACCUCAGCUUUUCCAACCAUGCCUGGAUUUGUCUCUUAAAUAUAAUUCUCACCCUUCACAUUGUUUAUAUCGUGAACUUGCUGACACUCUAUGUAUCAUCAAAUUUAAUCACAAGCGGGACAUUUAUAAUCUUAAAUCAGAAGCAAAUUGUUGGCACAUACCUCCAGUCAACCCCAGAACUAUGCAGACAGAGACUGGCAGAUCUCUGUGAGUUUGACGCCAGCCUGGGCCACAUAGUAAAAACCUGUUUCAAAAAAGGCAAAAGAGAUAAUAUAAGAUUCUGUAUUACGUUCAGAGGCUGGAGACUAGCUCCAUGGCACUUGCCUAACAUUCCCAAG